rnacentral:rRNA from 1 species
UACGUAGGGUGCAAGCGUUGUCCGGAAUUAUUGGGCGUAAAGAGCUCGUAGGCGGUUUGUUGCGUCGGCUGUGAAAUCCCGAGGCUCAACCUCGGGUCUGCAGUCGAUACGAGCAAACUAGAGUGUUGCAGGGGAGACUGGAAUUCCUGGUGUAGCGGUGGAAAUGCGCAGAUAUCAGGAGGAACACCGGUGGCGAAGGC